rnacentral:rRNA from 1 species
GACGAACGCUGGCGGCGUGCUUAACACAUGCAAGUCGAACGGAAAGGCCUUUUCGGAGGUACUCGAGUGGCGAACGGGUGAGUAACACGUGGGUGUUCUGCCCUGCACUCUGGGAUAAGCCUGGGAAACUGGGUCUAAUACCGGAUAGGACCGCACUUUAGUGUGUGUGGUGGAAAGUUUUUUCGGUGUAGGAUGAGCCCGCGGCCUAUCAGCUUGUUGGUGGGGUAAUGGCCUACCAAGGCGGCGACGGGUAGCCGGACUGAGAGGUUGGUCGGCCACAUUGGGACUGGGAUACGGCCCAGACUCCUACGGGAGGCAGCAGUGGGGAAUAUUGCACAAUGGGCGCAAGCCUGAUGCAGCGACGCCGCGUGGGGGAUGACGGCCUUCGGGUUGUAAACUCCUUUCGCCAGGGACGAAGCGUUUUGUGACGGUACCUGGAGAAGAAGCACCGGCUAACUACGUG